rnacentral:rRNA from 1 species
GAUGAACGCUGGCGGCGUGCCUAAUACAUGCAAGUCGAGCGAACAGAUGAGGAGCUUGCUCCUCUGACGUUAGCGGCGGACGGGUGAGUAACACGUGUAUCACCUACCUAUAAGACUGGUAUAACUUCGGGAAACCGGAUCUAAUACCGGAUAAUAUCUUGAACCGCAUGGUUCAAUAGUGAAAGUCGGUUUUUCUGUCACUUAUAGAUGGAUCCGCGCCGCAUUAUCUAGUUGGUAAGGUAACGGCUUACCAAGGCAACGAUGCGUAGCCGAACUGAGAGGGUGAUCGGCCACACUGGAACUGAGACACGGUCCAGACUCCUACGGGAGGCAGCAGUAGGGAAUCUGACGCAAUGGGCGAAAGCCUGACGGAGCAACGCGGAGUGAGUGAUGAAGGUCUUCGGAGCGUAAAAAUCUGUUAUUAGGGAAGAACAAAUGUGUAAGUAACUAUGCACGUAGUGACGGUACCUAAUCAGAAAGCCACGGCUAACUACGUG